rnacentral:rRNA from 1 species
CAGCGCCUCGAGUGGCAACCAUGUUUAUUGGGCCUAAAGCGUUCGUAGCCGGUUUGAUAAAUCUUCUGUGAAAUUGUAUAGCUCAACUAUACAGCGUGCAAGAGACACUAUUAAACUUGAGACCGGGAGGAGCUGAGAGUAUUCUUGGGGGAGCGGUAAAAUGUUGUAAUCCUUAGAAGACUACCUGUGGCGAAGGCGCUCAGCUAGAACGGAUCUGACGGUGAGGGACGAAAGCCAGGGGAGCGAUCCGGAUUAGAUACCCGAGUAGUCC